AAGGAUAUAGUUAAAUAUAACAUUUGAUUUGCAUUCAAAAAGUAUUAGAUACUCUAAUUAUUCUUA
rnacentral:tRNA from 1 species